ACGAACGCUGGCGGCGUGCUUAACACCUGCAAGUCGCACGGAAAGGCCCUGCUUUUGUGGGGUGCUCGAGUGGCGAACGGGUGAGUAACACGUGAGUAACCUGCCCUUGACUUUGGGAUAACUUCAUGAAACUGGGGCUAAUACCGGAUAGGAGCUCCUGCUGCAUGGUGGGGGUUGGAAAGUUUCGGCGGUUGGGGAUGGACUCGCGGCUUAUCAGCUUGUUGGUGGGGUAGUGGCUUACCAAGGCUUUGACGGGUAGCCGGCCUGAGAGGGUGACCGGCCACAUUGGGACUGAGAUACGGCCCAGACUCCUACGGGAGGCAGCAGUGGGGAAUAUUGCACAAUGGGCGGAAGCCUGAUGCAGCAACGCCGCGUGCGGGAUGACGGCCUUCGGGUCGUAAACCGCUUUCGCCUGUGACGAAGCGUGAGUGACGGUAAUGGGUAAAGAAGCACCGGCUAACUACGUG
rnacentral:rRNA from 1 species